rnacentral:tRNA from 1 species
GGGCCUGUAGCUCAGUUGGUAGAGCAGUUGCCUCUUAAGCAACUUGUCGAAGGUUCGAGUCCUUCCAGGCUCA